rnacentral:rRNA from 1 species
GAGUUUGAUCUUGGCUCAGAUUGAACGCUGGCGGCAUGCCUUACACAUGCAAGUCGAACGGCAGCAUGAUCUAGCUUGCUAGAUUGAUGGCGAGUGGCGAACGGGUGAGUAAUACAUCGGAACGUGCCCUGUAGUGGGGAUAACUAGUCGAAAGAUUAGCUAAUACCGCAUACGACCUGAGGGUGAAAGUGGGGGACCGCAAGGCCUCAUGCUAUAGGAGCGGCCGAUGUCUGAUUAGCUAGUUGGUGGGUAAAGGCCCACCAAGGCGACGAUCAGUAGCUGGUCUGAGAGGACGAUCAGCCACACUGGGACUGAGACACGGCCCAGACUCCUACGGGAGGCAGCAGUGGGGAAUUUUGGACAAUGGGCGAAAGCCUGAUCCAGCAAUGCCGCGUGUGUGAAGAAGGCCUCGGUUGUAAG